ACUCCUACGGGAGGCAGCAGUGGGGAAUAUUGCACAAUGGGCGCAAGCCUGAUNCAGCCANGCCGCGUGUGUGAAGAAGGCCUUCGGGUUGUAAAGCACUUAUACAGUCAGGAGGUAAGAGGUUAGCUAGUUAAUACGCUGCUAGUCUGUGACGUUACUNACAGAANAAGCAUCCGGCUAACUCC
rnacentral:rRNA from 1 species